AAAUAAUAAAUGAGCCCAUUUCACAAAUGUGGGCCUCAAUUACACUCAAAAUCUUGAUAACUAAUAACCCAACCCAUUUAAUUAUUAAACCAAUUAACCCAAAACCCAAUGGAUGACUAAUACCCAACCCACUUAAUUAAUAACCCAAUUAAUAAUUAAUAAACCAAUUAAGCCCAAACCCAAGUGAUACCAAUAAACCAAGCCCAAACCCGAUUUAUACAAAGAAACCCGCCCAUUGAUAUAUCCACUGCACGGCCUCUGGAUCCACUGUCUGGCGGUGCUGUGGGAGUCGCGGUGCUGUGGGAUGCUAGCUGGCUCGAAGGAGAGUCUCAAUUACUUGGGUUGCCGGCUUACUAGCAGUCGACGGUUGAAAGAUUGAUGAACUCCCGACGGGCGGCUGGCUUGGGUGGUGUGUUUUCUGUUUUUGCACUUCUGCCCCUCUUGCUGUUAGAAUUCUGGCGACAGAGAAUGUGAAGCUGUGGUGGCGGUUGACUUCUGCAAUGAAACAAGUCGUUCCCUGUGUUGCGGCAGUUUGAAUUGGGUUGUAGUGGGAUAGGAGGCUUGGGUCACGGUCGGCGGCGGCUGAGAAUUCGAUUGAAUGGAGAUUGGGUUGGGGGUUCGGCUGAAUGGAGGUUUGGUCGCGUUGUGGAUUUGGUUUGGUUAAUAUUUGGUUUAUGGCAGUGUGUUAGUUUGUUGGCAGUGGAAUACUGUGCUUGAGUGAAAAAAAUGACGAGAGUUGCUGCAGAAUGACUUGUGUGUAUAAAUUGAUUUUGUAGACGAAGUUUUACCCAAGUUUCGCUCUGAUACCAACUUGAUGUAGGGUGAAUGAUUCAACAGCUAAAACAAGAAGAGAUGGUAGAAAGGGAGAGAGGAAGGAGAACAGAGACAGUGAGCAAAGAGGCAAACGGCUGAAGCCAACGUUAUAAUUUAAUCAAAAUUCAUCAACUGAGAAAUUACAAACCAAUGAUAG
rnacentral:lncRNA from 1 species